UGGUGCCAUGAAUUUUUCAGUCGUUGCAUGCAGUCACGUCUCUCCGGGGGUCCGACCGUAAAUCAAAAUUCUCGUUCGUUAGACAAAUAGUUUUUGAAUACGAUUUAAACGAAAAACAUAUAAAAUGUUUUUGUUGAAUUUUAAUUUUUUUUUUUAUUAAUAUGUAAUGAAACAAAUAUCAUUAGUUUUGAAGUAGUGUUAAAACUUGUUAAAUUUAUAAUAGACACCAAAAUAUCGUGUACGAAAAGAUCUCAAAAAUAAACUUUCAUAUUUAGAUAAGUUGGACGAUUGGAUUUGCCGACGGGUACCUGAGUUAUGAGACACCAUAUAUUGUGGAUACUCGAUCGGAUUCAUUUCAUUUAAAAUUAAAAAUGACUGUCGCAUUUUAUACAGCCAUAAUUUUGAUAGUGCUGUGGUCUCCGUUUUCGGUGUGUUUUAACCAUACGGGAUGGCUUCGCCGAAUCUCUCAGACACCGUUUCCGGAAGUGCGUAUGCGUCAUAUGCGACAUUCUGGACUUUCUGCAGAGCCGUUUGUAUGGCCCUUAAAAAAAGAGGCUGUAGUCGAGGGUGAUUUGCUCCUUGGUGGACUGAUGAUGGUCCAUUCUCGUGAGGAUACUCAGUUCACUUGUGGUCCGAUAAUGGCUCAGGGUGGUAUACAGACCGUAGAGACUAUGCUCUAUACUUUGGAUCAAAUUAAUAAACAGUGGACCAAGUUUAAAAUUGGAGCACUCAUAUUGGACGACUGCGACAAGGAUACAUAUGGAUUGGAAAUGGCUAUAGACUUCAUAAAAGGUUCUAUUAGCAAUAUAGAUGAAACUCAAUAUUUUCAUUGCAACAAGUCGCAAGUAAGAAAAGUAAUAUCUGGAGUAGUUGGUGCGGCUUCAAGUGUUACAUCUGUUCAAGUAGCAAAUUUAUUAAGACUUUUCAAAAUACCUCAGGUCUCGUUUUGGUCAACAAGUCCUGAACUAAGUAACAAACAACGCUUUGAGUACUUCACGCGAACUAUACCUUCAGAUCUUUAUCAAGUAAAGGUUAUGGUAGAAAUUGUUCGAAGACUUGGCUGGAGUUACAUAUCAAUUAUUUACGAAGAGUCCAGUUAUGGCAUUAAAGCUUUUGAAGAAUUAGAGAAAUUGAUGCCCAGAUACAAUAUUUGUAUUGCGGCAAAGGAAAAACUAGUUAAAGAUUCGGGCGUGGCAGAAGAAAAAGCUUAUGAUGAUAUCGUUAUUAAGCUUCUCAGUAAGCCUAAGGCAAAGGGGGUUAUAGUUUUUGGAUCAGACCAAGAAGUAGUGAGUUUAAUGAAAGCAGUAAGGAGAAAUAAUGCUACUGGAAAUUUUUCGUGGAUCGGUUCAGAUGGAUGGAGUGCGAGAGAUAUGGUAUCAGCUACAAAUGAAGCAGAAGUGGAAGGAUGCUUAUCUGUUCAACCUCAAGCUAAUCCUGUCAUCGGAUUCGAAGAAUAUUUUUUAGGACUCACUGUAGAAAACAACAAAAGAAACCCGUGGUUCACUGAAUUCUGGGAAGAACACUUCCAGUGUCGAUAUCCAAAAAGUGUGAGAACACCAUACAACUCAAAUUAUUCAGUUGAAUGUGACUCUAAGUUUCAUCUACGAGAAAAAAUUCCAAAAUUUGAAAAUCAAUUACAAUUUGUCAGUGAUUCGGUACUAGCAUUUGCACAUGCAUUAUACGAUAUGCAUUCUUAUCAUUGUGGUCCGGACUUUGUUGGUUUAUGUGAAGCCAUGAAACCUGUUAAAGGACCUGAACUCUUAAUGUAUCUCAGAAAAGUUAAUUUCACCGGUCUCACGGGUGAUAAUUUUCACUUCGAUGACAACGGGGACGGACCUGCCCGUUAUAAUAUCAUCCACUUCAAACAGGUAGAGCCGGGCAUUUUUAAAUGGAUCAAAGUCGGUGUGUACUCGGAUGGCAAACUCAAUCUCAACAUGUCCGAGAUGCGGUUCAAAACGGACACAUCAAAUCCACCGGAAUCAGUUUGCAGUUUGCCGUGCCAAAAAGGCCAAGCUAAGCAAUAUCUUGAGGGCGAAAAAUGCUGCUGGCACUGUUUCAACUGCACACAAUACCAGAUUCGUUCACCCACCGACGAAACCAGAUGCGAAGUUUGUCCCGGGGGCACGUUACCCGACAGUAAUCGUCAACGAUGUUUGGAAAUACCGGAAGCAUUUUUAAAGGCCGGAAGCAGUUGGGCUAUUGGAGCGAUGACACUGUCAGUGGCAGGUAUUGCCAUCACUUUGCUAGUGAUUUCCGUGUUUAUCAAACACAAUCAUACACCAAUCGUAAAGGCCGCUGGCAGGGAAGUUUCGUACGUACUUUUGUCCGGCAUACUGCUAUGCUAUCUCAUCACGUUUGUGCUCGUGCUCAAGCCCACUGACAUCGUAUGCGCAGUGCAAAGAUUUGGUGUUGGAUUCUGUUUCACUGUCGUGUAUGCUGCAUUAUUAACGAAAACGAAUCGCAUAUCACGCAUAUUUAACGCUGGACGACGAACUGUUAAACGUCCUAAAUUUAUAUCACCAAAAUCACAACUGGUCAUCUGCACAGGGCUCAUAUCGAUACAAGUGCUCAUCAACGGCGUGUGGAUGCUGGUCAGCCCGCCAAAGGUCAUACACUAUUAUCCUAGCAGAGAGUCGAAUAUACUAGUCUGCUCGUCGUUCAUCAACACAUCGUACGUGAUAGCGUUCGGAUACCCAAUAGUGUUGAUUAUCGUAUGUACCGUGUAUGCUGUGCUCACCAGAAACAUUCCUGAAGCUUUCAACGAGUCUAAGCACAUAGGUUUCACGAUGUAUACAACAUGUGUCAUAUGGCUCGCAUUUGUUCCACUAUACUUUGGAAUUGGCAACCAUACUCCACUAAGGAUAACAACUAUGUCAGUAACCAUUAGCCUAUCCGCCAGUGUAACUAUAGUUUGCCUGUUCUCUCCAAAGUUGUAUAUAAUUUUGUGUCACCCGGAACGAAACGUGCGUCAAAGUAUGAUGCCAAAUAUGAAGUUAACGGGCACUAAAACAUUUACAACAUCGAAUACGAAUGCAUUUUGUAACAAUUCAACAAGACGGCGCAGCUCAUUAACUUAUAAAGAUUCCAGUACGGAUAUGCAUAUCAGCUUGGAAAAUCGAAAACAAGUUCUCGAACGAGCCGUACAAACAGAAGAGACGAGAAUCGUAUCGAAAUCGUUAUCAACAAAAAAUUCAAACGUAUAAUAUCUUUCCUUCCUUCUAUCCUCGAAUGGAAACCACAAAGGUACAUGACAAGACUGAGACAAUUGUUAUGUUCUCUAGACGUUUUAUAAACUUGCCAAAGUCUCGAAGUCGUAUAACACUAAUAAUAAUAACAAUAAUAAUAUGAAAGGGCCAUAUCAAAAAUAAUAAUAUAAUUACAAAUGUUUGAAAAGUUUUAUCAUUUAUAAAAACUAUUUGAUUCCCGUGAGCAUUUUUAAAAGAAACAUAAGUUGAAACCGAUGAUCGAAAACAUGUUAUUCGUUGGGCUAUUUUCAAAACACGUAAAAAUAUAUUUUUUUACAUUUGAAUUAGUCAAUUCCGACUUUAAAAUUAUUGGCAGUAGAAAACUGCAGUAUAUAAAAAUAAUGCGAAGUAUUUCAAAAAAAAAAAAAAAGCUCCUUAAAACAUUUACUACUAUUGUAAAUAAUAUAUAGUAACAAAACAAAACAAAAACAAGUCGCAUAUUAUAUGGAAAAAAUAUACAAAAUAAACAAAAAAAAAUUCUGAAAGGCAUGUGUUGGAGCUAAUAAUUAUAAUGUAGGAACAUCGUAUCAUAAAACAAUUGAUCUUAAAAAUAAACAAACGUUUAAAAAUAUAUUUAAUUAAAUACGCAUAAUAUUAUUAAGGAAAUAAUUUAACUUUGCUCGACGACUGUAGUUAUCUGCUUUAAUUUUGAGUACAAUGUGGACACUUAACAUAAAUUAGGAAAUAACUUCUUUGUUUAGUUGAAUCGUAUAUUGCUACCGAGUGAAGUUAAAUUGUUUCUCGUAAUUAAACUAGGUACUUUAAUUUAAUAUAAUUUAAAACAGUUUUUUUACUAAAAUUAAUUAUUAUGACAUUACAUUACUUAACCUGUAAAUGACAUGAGUAACAGACGCUGUAAAAUUAUUUUUUUAUUCAGCUAGUUUUUCACACAGCAUUUACUAAGUUUUUUUGUUGAUGCUUUAAUGUCACUAACGGAAUGCCAAGUGGUGAGAGAUGUACGGAUACCUUUAUAGUUUAUAAUAAUAUAUCUAUUAUGUAUAUUUGUUUCCUCAUCAACGUGCAAGGCGGUGGCUGCAGUUUGUCAUUUCAAUUAUAAAUAAUUGCAGAACCCUUUCAUUUUGCCAUAUAAUUCACCAAGUCGAAUUAUUCUAAUCGUGUUAGAAAUUCAAAAGCAUCAUUUGUACCAUACAACUACUAAUAUUUCAUUUGUACUUACACGAAAAUACGAAGUGGGUGAAUUUCAAUUAUCCAGCAAUCUACCAAGUGCCUAUUCAGAUUUUUCAAAAUAAUAGUACAUUUUAACCUUAAUCCAUUCGUAGGAUGGUUUAUUGAUAUUUCCUAUUGAAUAAAGAACACACCGUAAAAUAUAUGACAUUAUAUAGUGUGAAUGUGCAUACAUUAUGACUCUGGUAUUCUUAAUUCUGGUGUAUUUGUGUCAAAAGAUAUCGAACAGAAAAUGUAUAAAAUAUUAGACAUUCGAUAGUCAAAUAGGUCAAACUCAUAUUAUUUUGUAAUAUUAACAGCAUAAAGAUUUCAAUUUUUUUUAAAAAUUUUUCAAUGGUUCAUACAACUUGAAUAGAACACAAUUUUAAAAGUCAAAGUAGAACAUUAUUUAAAUAACUAUUUGUAUAAAAGAUUGACUAACUCUGCUGUUAUAAUACAACACUACUCUAAUCAUACAUCGUCUUUCGCUAAUAAUAUCGUGUUGCAUAAUAUUUGGUGUGUUGUUAUCAAGUAAUUCAAUUCGAAUAGUUUUUAAAUGUUUUGCAGAUGUAUUUUCUUCAGCUAUUCAUUUAUAAUUUUCCCUUUCAAUUUUAUUUUUUAUUCAUUAUUCAAUAUGAUCAUUGAUCGUGUUUACCAUUUGAUGCUUGAAGACAUUUAUAGAUCACCAUUAAAAUACUGGCACUAAAAUUUAUAUAUGAAAUUCUGAAUACUUCCAUUUCGUUAAUUCGACUCUAAGUUAUUUUACUAUUGAUAGAUACACUUACUACCGAGUUACGACACUAUAGGCAAUAUAAUUAUUUCUAACGGUGUUUAUUAACGGAUUCUACAAACAAUAUCGUAUAUAUAUUAUCAUUAACACAAUAUAAAUAUAAAAUUAUAUGAAAAAAUUCGAAUUUAUAUUAUCGUAAGAAAAAUUGUUUGCAAUCGUUUAAAUCUUAGGUACCUAGGUAUGAAACAUGAUUUAUUUGCCAAUAAUCGUUAGCAAAUGUAUAAUUAAAAAUUUUAAACGUUCGCUAUCAUUUAGCACCGAAAAUUUUUAACCGCUUAUCUAAAAAUAAUGUAAAUUAAAUAUCAAACCGAAUCGACACAAAUCGAUCUCCAACACAAUCAAUAAACGUGCAAUGGUAUGGUAAAAAUCUUGUCUGGCAAUUUUUGGAGUAUAACUCGGCAGUAAUUUAUCGAUCACGUUGUAACUAUACCGAAUGGAGUCGGUAUAGUUACUGAAUACUACAGUACCUAUAUGAUUGCAUUAAAAUAAAUAUAAAUUUGACAUGAAUAAGCAAGUUUUUAAGAUUUAAACUUAAAUGAUGUAUUUAAAAAAAAUAGAAUACAAUUAAUGCACUAAAACUGUUGUAGAACUCUAAGAACACAGUAAAUAUGCACCGCAGUUUUCAACGUUAUUUUUCCGGAGUGUUCUGUCCAUUGACUUGCUGCCACUCGUAACGUUGAAAGAUUACACAAACGAAAAACGUAUGUUACAAAAGACAGUGGCUAAAGUAUCGGUUGUCGAACUUGUCCGUCGAAAAGUUCAAAACCGUGUCGUUAAAAGUUAUUUAGACAAAACGUUUGACCGUAAAAAAUUUCCCCCAAACGCGUUAAUAUAUUUUCCUUGUAAUUAAAUUUCUAUAAAACCAAUUUCGACAAUGACUGUAAAAAUGUCACGUGAAAUUUUUCUCGAAUUGGCACGUAAAAAUCGAAAAAAUCGAAACUAAAAAAAAAAAAAGUGUAAACGGUGAAAUAUUUCAUGUCUCGUUUUAUCUGCAACGAGCAGCUUUCUCGAGGUUGGAGAAAAUGGUUCGUGAAAUCGGAUAGCCGAAAAAAAUCUCUGCCGACAUUAUAUAUUCUUAGGGUCACUGCUACACCGUUUGGCUGACCUCACCAACCAAUAUUCACAGAGAGGUACACCGACCCUAUUCGGUGGAUAAAACAAGACCGUUUACCUCCUUACCCUCGAUAAGACCAAAAUGACAAUAUAUUUACUAAUACUCCUAGAACACUUGAUAAAAAUAUUCGAAACUAGUGUUAAAAUUCGUUUAUAAUAUUAAAAAACGUUUGGGUAUAACACCAAACAAUAUAAACUCAUUAAUUUCGAUUUUAAAAAUUGACAAAUAAAAAUUUUAAUCUAUAAAAAAUCAAAUUGCAUGCGGUUAAAACAUGUUUAUAAUUAACGCAAUCUAUUUAUAAUAUCUAUAAAAUGUCAUGAUUUCUUAUAUUAUAGUACUCACGUAGUGUCGUUUCAAAACUGCCUAAUAAGUUACAAAUUAUAACUAAUAAUGAAAAUUCUAAUUAUAUGUCCUUAUAAUAAUAAUGAUAAAUACUUUUCAACCAAGAAUUUUUAUUUUUUAGUUUCUACUGAGGACAAAUAUAAUAUCUAAAUGAUUAUUCAUCUAAGUAUGAAGGAAUACAUUUAUAUAUAUUAGUCAAAAUAUAAUUAUUUUAAGAAUGUUUGAUAAACCUGAAGUGUUUCCCAGCCAGUGGUCCGCGAUCCUACACAUUUUAAAUGUAACACGUAAAGUAAUAAAAAAAAUACAAAUACACAUAUUUUAAUUUUAUAUAUUUUUGUUAAUGAGAAAAAAAAAUUAAUUGUAAAAUAUUAGCAGUGGCCUGUGGUGCUAAAAAGAAACACUGAUUUAGACAGAUAAAUAUUACAUAUUAUGUAGGUAUACAUUAAGAAAAAAAAAUUUUGAUACAAAUAUGAAUAAAAUAAUAUAUAAUAUACAUUCAAGAUGAGAACUUAUCUAGGUGAGACUUCGCCAUAACAUAUUAUAUUUGACAAACGACUCAAUUUAGAAUAAGGUGCUCAAUAACGUUAACAUACCAUUCAUAAUAUGCACUUCGAUGAGUUUGAUUCGAUUGUGUAUACAACACUGUCCACACGAAUACCCUGAAAAUUCAAACACCAUUUAAAUAUUGUAAUUUUGUCUCAAAAUAUAUUACAACCUUAAAUACUUAAUGUCAUUUUUUCUUAUAUCUAUAUUGAUUGAACCUUUUAUUAUUAUUCAACCAAGUAUAAUAUAUUUUAAUGAUGCCUCUCAUUAUAGCCCAUUGUUCAGUUCGAUGCAAUUUUUGAUGAUGACGCAUAAAGGCAAUAAUAUAACGUAUUGUUUAAUUAUUGUUAAAUAAAUGCAGCCACAAACAACGUUCUUCGAAUUUAAAACCCAACGUUUAUUUGUUAUAGUGUAAGAUUUUCCAAGUAAUAUGAAUAACAUACAAAUUAAAAUAAAAUCGCACACAAUAAAACUUUAUUGAUAUUAUUCCAACUAGAAAAUUCUUUUUCAACUUAAUUACUAUGAAUAUACAAAUAACAACGAACGCAAGCUACUGGAAAACAUUUUACGUUUGAAAAAAAAAAUACGUAAAAAACUUUUCUAAACAACUUAAAAAAAUCUACUUAGGUCCACGAAAAUAAAUUAUUUAAAUGAAAUACAUCUAUAUUCGUUGCUUCUGUUAAAGUGGUAAAACUAUUUGGAUCGUUUGAAAACACACAUAGGCCUCCAUUUUUUAAUUCUAUUGCAUUACUAAUUAGCAUUACUCUACUUCGACUAAAUCAAAAAUCUACCUUAGAAACCGACGGGUCGAUAUUUCAAAUAUUUAACCAUAUAAAUAUUUUUCGAAUCUAAUAAUGCAUAAGUCAUUUAUAUCGGCUUCGAAAUCGAAUUUAAAAUAUCUAAACGUACCUAUAGUGUUUGAACGAAUGUGAGUUUUCCGUUUAUUUCAUAGCUGCAGCGAUCUUUAAACAAGUCGAAUGGCAUACCACACAAGAAUUUGAAUAUAUUUUCUACUUAUCCACGUCGAUUUUAGUUUGCCACGAUUUUAAAAUUUAUUUUUUUUAAUGAAUAUAACUAAAAAUAAUAAACCAGACAGUACUAAAAAUUAUAGAUUUAAAUACUGUAAAAAAAAAAAAAUAUCGAAAAUACAUAAUCUGUAUGCAAAAUGUAUAAAAAUUGUAUGUACUUAUAGGCAAUUUGUUUGUAAAAAAUGUGUUAUAACAAAAACUUGUUAUGAUAGUGAAUUUUGGAGAAUAUGGAAACACAUUUGGUAUAUUUCAGCAUAUUUUGGAAUAGUAAAAAACUUAGACGCGCCAGAAAGUACAUAGUUUAUUUUCUAUCUAUGUUUUAAUUAAAACCACAUUAAAUGUACUGGCGUUUUGUCUUGUCUUAUGUAAUUAUUUUAUUUUGAUUAACAGUAAAACAUUAACUGAAUAAUUGAGAAUAAAAAUACAUAUACCUAAUACCUGUCUGACGCUGUUCUUUCGAUUUUAAGUUUUAUGCUGAUACUAAAUCGAUUAAUUAUACAUACCUAUAUAACAUAUUAAACCAAUGCAAUUAAAGUACAAAACAAAUCAAGACAAUUUGUUCUGGAAAAAAACUUGAUGGUGGGUGUAAUUCGUUUACAAUUCUCGAAAGCAUACACUUAUCUUAAUAACACCAUGUUGUCUGUGAGACCGUCAUUAAAACAUUUCAUUUCGAGUGCCGGUAAAUGGCGAUCGUCGUUGGGUACGAAAAUAAAUUGUUGAAUCUAUCGAACAGCGUAGUAAUUUCAGGUACUUCACACUUUGCUUAUAAGUUUUUAGAAUGCUAGUCAGUCACUCGUUUGGAAAUAAAGAAUAAAGUAAAUGUGAAAGAAAUGAACAGUUGAUUAUCAAUAACACUUGUACAAUUUGUGAAUAGAAUAUAAUAUAUCUGCAGCCCGAGAAAUUAGCUUGUUAUCGAUAAUUUUAGGGCGCGCCCAACAACUCAACUAAAUCCGAUGAGACUAAUAAAUUAUUAUUCUAAUCGUACAGCGUACGAGAACUGUAUAUCUACCAAAUUUUGACUGUAUUAUUAAACGGUUGACUUAAAAAGUGGAUAUCAAUGAAACCAAAAAUGUUUUAUACGAUAUCUUUUGAUUAUUAUAUUAUCUAUGACAAGUAAGAAUCGGUGUAGACUCUUUACUUCGCGAUCUCGCUUGCUCUUAACGAUUCCUUUGAAUUAUUGCACGGCUUAGGGCAACGCCUACGUUUUCCAAUAUUAUUUAUUAAUAAGCAAUAAAAUAUAAUGAAUAAUGAUCAACAAUAGUAGAACGACAUCUAUAGGUUCGGCAACAACACAUAGGUGAUAAAUAAUAGAGUACUUACUAUUGUAAUGCAUAGUAAAGCGGCUGCGCCAGUUUUCUAAAACGGUUUUAUUUUCACAUCAAAAAUUUAAAACUUAUUAACUGUGAUUAACGAUUGCACCCUUGUCCCAACAAACUAGGUACAGUAGAUAGUCUUGCGUGGGUUAAAAUCAAUAAUUCUUAUAAUUGAAAUUUGAAGUUUUACACCCAUAAAAGUCUAAAUAAAUUGAUAAAAUGUUUUUUCUCUCUCAUAAACUGUUCAAAAAUGCCAAAAACUUACUUUGAAAAGCAUAACAUCAAAUUUAUGUGAUAGAAAAAUCGUUUGAAAAAAAUAACCAUUUAGAGCUAUGCAAUUCUAAAUUACUACCAGUAAAAACAAAUUAUAGUUAACAGGUACAUUUAUUGCUUAUAAAUUAUAAUAUAUAAAGAUACCUCUAAUAUCUAUUACAAUAUACAUUUAUAUAUUAUUAUAUUGUUGAUAAUACUAGAUAAACAAUUAUAAUUAUAUAAAUAAUAAUAGACAUGUAUAAAAUUAAAUACUUAACAUAUAUUUAUCAUCUUAUGUACAUUUCCAAUACAGUUUGGUAACUAUCAUUAAAAGAAAGGUCAUUGUGAAUUCUAAAUUCUUUAAGAAAUUUCUCAGCUUAUUCAUCUUAGUUGUAAAGAUCAUGCACACUGUCACGAAAAAAGUACAAACAAUUCUCAUAUACUUACUAUAUUAUCAUUAAAACGUAUUAUUUUUAAAAAUAUACUAUCUCUGUACUUUAUUAAAACUUAAAACUUGAAGAUUAGUUGAUUUUGGGCAUUUUGGCAUUUACUUUUCAGUGGAACCUACCAAAAUAUCCCAAUUAUUUUUUAUCAUUAACUGUAUUAAUAUAUAUCAUCAAUUUUAGAACUCAUAUAAAAAUAUUUCAAUUAGAAAAACACCAAUUUUCAUACAAAUUCUUACGAUAUAUAUGUAAAAUUUGAACAUUGUGGUACCUUGUAGGUUAGAGCAUCUCAUUUAGGCUACUUUCCUAAAUUAUAUUAUUAUACACUAUUAUAUAGUAUACCAAUAAUAUCCAUUUUUUAUAUAAGGCCAUAAUAUGUAUCAAAUUAAAUUAUUAAAAUCCAUCAAAUAGUAUUAAUAAGUAUAUAUAUAUGACACUUUGUCUGGCAUAUUAAAAUAAUGAAACACUUAUAUAAAUUAUUAUAACAAAUGUAUAUUGUAUACGUAAUUAUAAUAAACCUAUAUACAUAUUUUACGGAAUAUCCAGUUAUAUUAGUUCAAGUAAAAGCCGCUAAGAAACAAUUAACUAAACCAUAUUCAGUAAAAUAGUAAAAAUUAAUAUUUCUAAAUGUACCUGAUUUUUAAUUAGAAUAGCAUAAAUUAUAAAUGCACAUCAGUAUACUAUCAUUAAAUAUGAUUACCAAUGAUUAUCCAUGUGAAGAAAUAUAAUAAUUUUUCAAAGUAGGUUUUGGCAUUGUUUAUAAAUAGUAUUAUUAUCGAUGGUCUUGAUAAAACAAAAACGUAUAAUUUAUUAUGAAAAUGAUAAUUUAUACAUAGCACCUGAUUAGUACAAAAAUUAAUAAUGCUCAGAAAUAAAAUAUUAUAACAUUACAUCAUAUAAUUAAUCAUUUUUUAUAUUUUCUUUACAACUUUCCAACUAACUAACCAAAAACCGAACCUAUUUCAUCCAAAACUAUCUUUAAGUGGUAUAGGUUACCAUGUCAUUUUGGACAUUUAAUGUAAUAAAUGAAGUACGAGGAAGAAACUUAUUAAAAAAAAUUCCCAACACUAAUUCUACUCGUUUACAAAAUGAUAGAUUUUUCUUUCCUAAAUAACAAAAAUAUUAUUUUUAACGUUAAUGAGCACCAUAGUUUUAAUAUAAUAAUCAACAGCAGUGAUAAUAUCUAUUAUACCAUAUUGUAUAAAGACGAAUUUGUCAUUUAAAAUAAUUAACUAAAACGUCUGAAAUUAAUUAAUCUGUAUUGAACUUUUCAAUAAUUUUACCAUUGUUAAACAGCAUAACAAAAACAAAUAAAACUUUUCUAACAGGUUCACUUUGAAAGAUAUAUUAAUAUGAUAAUAUAAUUAUUAUUUAGGCGCAUAGUUAGAUGUAUGAAAAAUAUAGGGAGUGACUUUUGAGCUUGCUUUUGUUUAAAGUUUUAUCUCAAAAUUAUUAACCAUUAGGACGACAAAUAGCAAUUUCAAUUCGCAAUAAUAUUAUAUUAUUUGUAAUCAUCCGUUCAUUUUUACCGAUGUUUAAUAUUAAAUAUGUGAUAUUAGGUGAUGGUAAAAUCUAUGCCCCUAUGUGUCGCAAUCAUUUCAAUAAAUAUCGCCAAAUGUUCUACUUUUUUUGUUAGUUAUUAUUGGAAAUCUGUGAGGAUAAAAUAAAUAUUCAAAAGGUCAUCUAUUUAUAUGAAUAUGUAUACAUAUAUAUAUAUUAUGUACAUACCUACCGUAUAGUCUCACGAGUCACUGCGUAAUUUGUAUAUUUGUAUACACUUUAUACCAACGAUCGUACGAGUAAAAGCAAAGCGAUAAGGUAGUCUAUGCCAUGUAUGCCUUUACUUUAUAAUAUACUAGUUGGGUGCGUUUAUCUGAAUAAAUAAGGUUCAAUUCGACACACUAUAAAAUGUCUCUAAAGUCCAAAUAAUGAAAACGUUUUAUGCGCACGUACUUUUCAAAUCGCCCCAUCGAAUAUAUUAAGCAUCAUUUAUUUGUUCGAUUCUUUAUUUUUCACGCACAUAUAUAGGUAAAUAAGAAAUAUAUAUCUUUCCGAUGCAUAUAAGCUCGCCGAAUACUUUUGUUAGAAAAGUAGAGAAAUCUUCGUCCUUAAUGAUAUACUGGUACAACGCGCACCCUAGUUUGAUUCGAUUGAAAUCACGCUUACAUUCGCUUCGGGCACUUAGCCUACGGUUCACCGUCUACAACACUACUCUGUUGCUUUUAUCCUACCGGGUUUCAUAUUGUAACAUCAUAAUAUUCUAAAAUUAUUAAUGUAUUUUCGUCGUCAUACAUACGCUUAAAGACCAAUCUCCAAAAUUUCGAUCACACGACUAAUAUAAAACCAUAUUAUAGAUAGCUCAUGACGGAAUGCCAAUUUAAACGUUAAAAGAAAAAAAAAUAUUUUGCUGUUUAAAAUCGCAAUCACAAUAACGGUUAGAAAAAAAAUUAAUCAUUCUUGGUUGCAUUAUUUUCGAUUGUACCUAUAUAAUAUAUAAUGUUAUAUUAUACGCGCACACGCUUAUCCCUGAAUCCGGUGCGUUAAAACGAACAUUCAAAUCGUUUUUCGAUCUGUCUGACGUUUUCUAUGGACGCGUUUGCUCGUCACCAGAAUACCAAAAUAUAUUUUCGACCGUAAAAUGAAUAAAAAUAAAGAAAACAAUACACCGCAGCAGCGUAUUUUAUUUUACGUGUGUACAGCGAGGGUUCGAUAAGAUACAGGCCAUUGGGGAAAAGGGGCAGAGCACAAAAUUAACCCUAAUCCUUCUAAUGCUCCCAUUAUAGAAUCUACUUGGAAUUUUUAUAUACGUAUAAUGUAUAUAAUAUAUUAUUGUAUAUACAUAAAAUAUUAUAAUAUAUUAUAUCAUAAACAAAUACAAUAAAAUAUAAAUAUUUUAUGUUUUAUUAUUACGGUUGAAUAAUAUAUUAUUUUUUUAUUUUCACGAUUGAAAACGAAAAUUUAAAAAUGUCGAUUCGCAGUAACAAAUAUACCCAGUAUUUAAAGUAUUUUUGAAAAAAAAACUCAGUAAAUUGUAGAAGGAAAUGGUUGUGAACUUGAGAAUAAGAUAUAGGUACACAGCUAAAUACAAUUUGAAUGUGAAUGUAUAUUUUAUUGUAUUAUAUAAGGUUCUUAGUCGAAACGAACUCCGAUCUGUGGACCUUUUUAAGAAAUGAGAUUUGUGAAUGUACCCUAUGUAAAUAAGCAAAAAACUCGCUAUGUACCUACUUUUUUCGAUGUAUGUAUACUGGAAAAAUAUAUGUCUUAAGUACUUUUAUAGUAUACCUAUACAUUUUCGUUAAAAAAAUAAUAAUAACCGAUUAAAAGCUCCUGGUUGAUGUUUUAAGUUUCAAAGUGAUAUUAUCUCUGAUCGAUACGUAUGAGUGAAAACACUUAAAACAAAAAUAUCAAAAAUAACAGUCUAUUUCGUUCGCUACACGACUUUCGUUCAACGUUCAUCCAAUUAUUAACCUACUUCCGAAGGAGUGGUGUCACGCGUUUCGUUUGUAUACGUACAACAUUAUAAUAGCACACGGACGACUCAAACACAUAAUAUUCGUGAGUAACAUUUUUAUUAAAUAUUCCUAUACUUGUAUAUAAUAUGGAGACUAUACCCCCAAAGUGUAUAGGAUACAUACUUGAUAUUAUUCUGUUUAAAUAUAAUAUUUUGUCAUUGUAAAAACGUAUGAACGAACGAACGAUUUAUAUUAUUAUAUUAUUUAGACGUAAUAAAAAAAUUUACAAUAUUAAUAAUAAUAUUUUACUGACAAAUGUGACGGGUGUGAACGAAAUAUUGUACAAUACCUACGUAUAUAAUAUAAAAUUUCUGUAAUGUGUAUAAAUAAUAAUAAUGGAUACGUUUGAAACAUACUGUAUAAUAUUACAUACGAUAUAUUAUAAUAAUAAUACGACGUUGCGUUUUUGUCCCGUGACAUUUUCGUAAAUGUAUUCGAUAAAUUGUUGGUUUAAUAACAUUUGUUUUGUUAUUGUUUUCAUUAUUAUUAAGACAAUAUUUCGGUUUUUGUUUGUGUGUUAAGUUUUUUAAUUGGUUUUCGCAAAUGUCUAAGAAUAUUAUAUUAUAAUGUUAUUUAAAUGAAUGCGUUGCUCAAUGUACUACCUGUUUUGUUAAUUAUACAUUUUUAAAAAUAAUAAUUUAAUGUUUCUAGGUAAUCGAUGUUUAUGUGUUAGCCAAAAACAGUUUGUAACCUGCUCUAAUAAAUAAUAAUAAUUCAUAUUAUAUGAUUCGUUAAAUGUAUUUAUUUGAUAAUUAUAAUUUUUUUUAUUUAUUACAUCGACAAAAAUAGCUUUAUAAAAUUAUAAUAAAUAGUUUAUUUCAAAUUAUUGUGAUAAAUCAAAAUUGUCAUGUCAUGGAGGUACCUACAUACCUAAAUUGUAACAAUGGCUAAUUUUUCUUGGUUUUUCUAUUAUCAUUUUUUUUUUUUUAUUUAUUAUUUAUUUGAUAAAUUGUGUCAAUACGCUACCAUUUGUGCAAUGUUAUACAAUUAUAAAAAUAUUACACAACUAUGGACCAUGACAUUUAUAGUUAUAAUUUAUACAUUACUUAUUGGAUAAUAAAAAUAAAAAAUUUGCUUUUCUGUA